rnacentral:rRNA from 1 species
AGUGAACGCUGGCGGUAGGCCUAACACAUGCAAGUCGAACGGCAGCACAGGAGAGCUUGCUCUCUGGGUGGCGAGUGGCGGACGGGUGAGGAAUACAUCGGAAUCUACCUUUUCGUGGGGGAUAACGUAGGGAAACUUACGCUAAUACCGCAUACGACCUUCGGGUGAAAGCAGGGGACCUUCGGGCCUUGCGCGGAUAGAUGAGCCGAUGUCGGAUUAGCUAGUUGGCGGGGUAAAGGCCCACCAAGGCGACGAUCCGUAGUUGGUCUGAGAGGAUGAUCAGCCACACUGGAACUGAGACACGGUCCAGACUCCUACGGGAGGCAGCAGUGGGGAAUAUUGGACAAUGGGCGCAAGCCUGAUCCAGCCAUACCGCGUGGGUGAAGAAGGCCUUCGGGUUGUAAAGCCCUUUUGUUGGGAAAGAAAAGCAACCAGUUAAUACCUGGUUGUUCUGACGGUACCCAAAGAAUAAGCACCGGCUAACUUCGUGCCAGCCGCCGCAGUAA